UUCGGGGUGAAGCUCGUGGAACGAGCGGCGGACGGGUGAGUAACACGUGGGCAACCUGCCUGUAAGAUCGGAAUAACCCCGGGAAACCGGGGCUAAUGCCGGGUAAUACUUUUCUUCGCAUGAAGAUGAGUUGAAAGAUGGCUUCUCGCUAUCACUUACAGAUGGGCCCGCGGCGCAUUAGCUAGUUGGUGAGGUAACGGCUCACCAAGGCAACGAUGCGUAGCCGACCUGAGAGGGUGAUCGGCCACACUGGGACUGAGACACGGCCCAGACUCCUACGGGAGGCAGCAGUAGGGAAUCUUCCGCAAUGGACGAAAGUCUGACGGAGCAACGCCGCGUGAACGAUGAAGGUCUUCGGAUCGUAAAGUUCUGUUGUCAGGGAAGAACAAGUACCGUGCGAAUAGAGCGGUACCUUGACGGUACCUGACGAGGAAGCCCCGGCUAACUACGUGCCAGCAGCCGCGGUAAUACGUAGGGGGCAAGCGUUGUCCGGAAUUAUUGGGCGUAAAGCGCGCGCAGGCGGUUCCUUAAGUCUGAUGUGAAAGCCCACGGCUCAACCGUGGAGGGUCAUUGGAAACUGGGGAACUUGAGGACAGAAGAGGAGAGUGGAAUUCCACGUGUAGCGGUGAAAUGCGUAGAUAUGUGGAGGAACACCAGUGGCGAAGGCGACUCUCUGGUCUGUUUCUGACGCUGAGGUGCGAAAGCGUGGGUAGCAAACAGGAUUAGAUACCCUGGUAGUCCACGCCGUAAACGAUGAGUGCUAGGUGUUAGGGGGCUUCCACCCCUUAGUGCUGAAGUAACGCA
rnacentral:rRNA from 1 species